GAAAUUACAGCCACAUUCACGUGCUGUUUCAAAGGCAACUGCAGCCAAAUAAGCUUCUGGUUAUAUUGAGAAAGGAAGGGAAUUCUUUCAGAGGUAAUAUAAUGACUAGUCUAUUUUCAAAGUGCAUGAUCUCUCCUCAAUCAUAGGUUAGAAAGAGGUUGAUUUAGACUGAAUUGUUUAAGUUGUAAUACAUAAGACCUGAAUUUGAAAAACAGAGAGUCAACAAGCAGACGGACUGAGACAAACUGAACACAUUUUGCAACUAUAGAUGGAAGGCUGAUAUGCUGCAUGGGCUCCAGACUUCAUACAAACAAACAGAGUACAGGAAACACAAGCUUAAAAGACACUUUUGAAGAUACAAAACAUCUGGCAGGAAACCGUUGUUGUGGUGUCAGCAGUCUGCUGUGUUUUCCUCCUCCUGGUCUGCCACUCCUCCUGUCUGUCUCACCUCACACCUGGCCCUCAUCUACAAUCAUGCUCACCUGGUCUUCAUCCCCAAUCAACCCCCUUCAUAAACCCUUGGAUUCCCUGCUGUCGGCGCCAGAUCGUACUACGCACUACCGUGUUACCCGGAUCACUCACUCCAGCUCGCCCACCUCGCUCUUCCCCCGGCUCCCUCAUCCACUACCUGCUUCCCACCUUGUUCAAUAAGCCUCUUUUUAUCCCUUCAACAUCGUCUCUUUCUGCUCUUGGGUUCAGCAUCGUCUACCAUAACAGAACGAUCUGGCCAAGAUGGACCAAGCGGACCUUUACAGCGUCCACGGAGCUCUCACCGCCCAAGAUAUUCGGAUUGCCGAGUACAGCCAAGCCCUCCGGGAAUCUAUGGAAGCCUUAAAGAACCUCGCUACCCGAGUCACUCAGAUGGGCGCACAAUUGGACGCAUUGGUUCCCCACACACCAGAACCCCCACUGCCUACGACUCCUCCGCCUGCCCCCACUAUUCCGACACACCUGCCACGAGCCCAUGAGCCUCUAAUUCCUGCGCCUGAGCGCUACGCUGGAGACAUGGGUUUUCAGCCAACAACCCCUCACCUACCCCACUGAAAAGGCCAAGAUGGCUUACAUUGUGGGGUCACUUAAGGGUAAUGCCUUAGCAUGGGCCUCGGCAUUAUGGGACAGUGAUUCCCCAGUCAAUGAUAAUUUUGAUCUUUUUGUUGCGGAAAUGAGGAAGGUUUUUGAUCACCCUGUAGAAGGAGGGGACGCCGCCAAACGUCUUAUUUCCUUAUGUCAGGGCUCCCGCAGUGUAGCCGAGUUCUCCGUAGAAUUCAGGACCUAUGCAGCCAGGUCGGGCUGGAACGACAAAGCACUACGUGGGCUUUUUCUUUCCGGUCUCAGUGAGUCCAUCAAGGACGAGCUCGCUACUAGGGAGGAGGCUGACACACUUGAUGAACUGAUCUCCUUUUCCAUCCGGCUGGAUAAUCGCCUACGCGAGCGGCGUAGGGAGAGGACAGUGAGUUCCGUACCCCCGGCACUCUCUACUCCCUGUUCUCCAAACUUCCCAUGCAGCCCAUGCAGCUGGGGCGCACUCGUCUCACCCAAGCUGAGCGGCUCCAUCGGAUUAGGACCGGAGUGUGUUUGUACGAUGCUCUACCCGGACAUCUCGUCUCCACCUGUCCGUCACUGCCAAAAGACAAGGCCCAGCAGUGAGGCUCGGGGCCCUGCUGAGCCACACCUCUUCUGUCCCCGUUCCUCUCUGUUCACGCUCUCUGCUGGAUGCCACUCUUCUGUCCCUCGGACGUCCCUUCCCGGUAUCGGCCCUUGUGGACUCGGGAGCGGAUGAAAACUUCAUUGACGCCGGUUUCGCAUCCCAGGUUGGCAUCAUUUUAGAACAAUUACCCUCUCCCCUAAAUGCUAACGCCUUAGAUGGCCGCCACCUGGCCCUUAUUACUCAUCGUACUAAGCCCCUUGAAUUAAUUGUUUCCGGUAAUCACCAUGAAACACUUCAGUUUCAUGUCAUCCUGUCUCCCCUUAAUCCCCUGUUCCUGGGUCACCCCUGGCUGAAGCGGCACAACCCCCAUUUCGAUAGGUCUUCUGGCAAGGUGGUGAGUUGGAGCACUUUCUGUCAUUCCACCUGCCUUCAAUCUGCCCUGUCUCCAGCAGAGGGAGAUGUUUCCUCGCCCCAGGUACCCCCCAACCUCUCCUUGGUUCCCCCAACCUAUCAUGACCUAGGAGAGGUGUUUAGUAAGUGUUGUGCGCUCACUCUGCCUCCUCAUCGCCCCUAUGACUGCCCCAUUGAACUCCUCCCCGGCGCACCUUUGCCCAGUAGUCACCUGUAUAACUUGUCCCGUCCUGAGAGGGAGGCCAUGGAGAAGUACAUCAGAGAGUCUCUUUCGGCCGGCCUCAUAAGACCAUCCUUUUCUCCUGUUGGUGCAGGUUUCUUUUUUGUCUCCAAAAAGGACAAGUCUCUUCGUCCAUGCAUCGACUUCAGGGGACUCAACAACAUCACAAUCAAGAACAAGUAUGCCCUACCCCUCAUCAGUUCCGCAUUCGAGCCACUGCAGGGCGCUACAGUCUUCUCAAAAUUGGACCUACGCAAUGCCUACCACCUGGUGCGUAUCCGUGAAGGGGAUGAGUGGAAGAUUGCUUUUAACACCCCCCUCGGCCACCUUGAAUACCUUGUCAUGCCCUUCGGUCUCACUAAUGCCCCUGCCGUGUUCCAGAACCUUGUAAACGACGUCCUCCGGGACUUUCUCAAACCGCUCAGUUUUUGUCUAUUUAGACGACAUACUUAUUUUUUCUCGUAACCAGGAGGAGCACUGCCAGCAUGUCCGACAAGUUCUUCAGCGGCUGUUGGAGAACAAACUAUAUGUGAAGGCCGAGAAGUGCGAGUUCAGCCUCUGUAUCCUUCCUUGGGUUCAUCAUAGAGAGCGGACAAGUGAGGACCUGUCCUGAGAAGGUCAGUGCUGUGACAGACUGGCCCAUUCCAAAUUCUCGCAAGAAACUGCAGCAUUUUCUUGGGUUUGCAAAUUUCUACCGGAGGUUCAUCCGUAAUUACAGUAGGGUUGUCUCACCUCUCCUGCCCUCCCAUUUGCCUGGACACCUGGGGCGGAGACUGCCUUUUCUGACCUCAAAAGACUUUUCUCGUCUGCCCCCAUUCUCAUCCAACCUGACCCCUCCAGGCAAUUCAUCGUGGAGGUCGAUGCGUCUGACACGGGGAUGGGGGCGGUCCUGUCCCAGCGCUCUGCCUCUGACGAAAAGAUUCACCCCUGCGCGUUUUUCUCUCGCCGGCUUGUACCUGCUGAGCGCAACUAUGAUGUGGGUUACAGAGAGCUGCUGGCUGUGAAACUGGCGUUGGAGGAAUGGCGACACUGGCUUGAGGGGGCAGAACAACCGUUUGUGGUUUGGACCGACCACAAGAACUUGUCCUACAUCCAGACAGCGAAGCGCCUUAAUUCCCGACAAGCCCGAUGGUCCCUGUUUUUUGGGCGCUUUAAUUUCACCCUCACCUACCGUCCCGGUUCCUGUAACGUCAAACCUGACACCCUCUCUCGUCAGUUCAACACUGAGAACGCACCGGCCCCCCCUGACACUAUCCUCUCUACUUCCUGCCUCAAGAUCGCUGCCGUCACCUGGAAGAUCAAGUCCCUGAUCCGGGAGGCCCAAGUCACUGAACCAGGUCCAGGUAACGGUCCUCCUAACCGUCUCUUCGUCCCCAGUGCGGUUCGCUCCCAAGUCCUGGUGUGGGGCCACACAUCGCGCUUUGCCUGUCACCCUGGUGGGGUCCGCACCCUGUCCCUCCUGAAGAGGAACUUUUGGUGGCCAGCGAUGGACGCUGUCGAAAGCAGUUCACUUCAUUGCCGUUCCCAAGCUCCCAACUGCCACCGAGACUGCCCAGCUGCUUGUGCAGCAUGUCGUCCGCCUCCACGGGAUUCCCACUGACCUCGUCUCCGACCGUGGUCCCCAAUUCAUCUCCCAAGUUUGGAAGGCCUUCUGCCGAGCGCUUGGAGCCUCUGUCAGCCUGUCUUCAGGAUACCAGCCACAGACUAAUGGGCAGGCUGAGAGAGCUAACCAGGACCGAGGAACCGCACUUCGUUGUGUGGCUGCGCGCAACCCCUCUGCGUGGAGCGACCAUCUCUCUUGGAUCGAGUAUGCCCACAAUUCCAUGGCCUGUGUGGCCACCGGCAUGUCCCCAUUCGAAUGUUCCCUGGGGUACCAGCCACCCUUGUUUCCCGCCCAGGAGGAUGACAUCUCCGUCCCCUCGGUUCAACACCAUCUCCGCCGUUGCCGCAAGAUGUGGAAGGACGCACGCUCCGCUCUGCUGCGCUCCGCUGAGCUGAACCGGCGCAUUGCCGACCGCCACCGGGCUCCUGCUCCUGCCUAUCGGGUGGGUCAACAGGUGUGGUUGUCCUCCAAGGUUCUCCCCUUACAGACUGGCUCCAAGAAGUUAACCCCUCGUUUUGUUGGCCCUUUCCCUAUUGUUUCGGUCAUCAACCCCUCAGCUGUCACACUCAAGCUGCCUCCAGCCAUGCACGUACACCCCACCUUCCAUGUCUCUCGCCUUAAGCCAGUCUCCGUCUGCUCUCUCUCCCCCCGGCCAUUCCUCCCCGUUUGAUUGUCAAUCACCCAGCUUACACCGUCCGGCUGUUACUGGACAUUCGUCGCCGGGGCAGGGGGCAUCAAUACCUCGUGGAUUGGGAGGGUUAUGGGCCAGAGGAAAGAAGCUGGGUUUUGCGGGGUCUCAUCCUCGACCCCUCCCUCAUCCGUGACUUCCAUCUGGCUCACCCAGAGAGGCCUAGGUCGCCUAGAAGUGUUCCUUGAGGGGAGGGUACUGUUGUGGGGUCAGCAGUCUGCUGUGUUUUCCUCCUCCUGGUCUGCCACUCCUCCUGUCUGUCUCACCUCACACCUGGCUCUCAUCUACAAUCAUGCUCACCUGGUCUUCAUCCCCAAUCAACCCCCUUCAUAAACCCUUGGAUUCCAUGCUGUUCGUACUACGCACUACCGUGUUACCCAGAUCACUCACUCCAGCUCGCCCACCUCGCUCUUACCCCGGCUCCCUCAUCCACUACCUGCUUCCCACCUUCCCACCUUUUUAUCCCUUCAACAUCGUCUCUGUCUGCUCUUGGGUUCAGCAUCGUCUACCAUAACAUUAGUUGCUUAAAUAAAUAAUUGCAUGCAAAAAAACAUGCAUGAAUGAAUGCAUGUAUCUUUCCUGCUGUCGGCUCCCAGACCGUAGUCGAGGAGCACAGGGGAGACGUUCUUUCCUGUAGUUGGUCUCCUUAUAGGUCGGAAUAUGGUCAGAAUGAAGCGGCCAUCGCGUAUUUAGAAAUACCGAAGGCGUGAUUUUAAAUACCAUCAAAAAUUCAAUGUCAACUCUACUAAACUUUUUUCCGACAUCUUAUGAAUAACAUUUUCAUUUUGUUAAUAUGUAUUUUGGCCUAAGUUUUGAGGCAGGAUAUAUAAUUAAAAAUCAAAAUAAAGUAUUUGCUGUUGCAAUGGUGUUGAGGGUGAAAUAGGUUUGCAUGCUAAUGAUUAGUGGCUGGCCGGGGAGGUGAAUUACAGAGUACUGUUACGUAUUUUAAGUACAUAAGCUGCUCCCACAUAGCCAUUAGGAAGCAGGAUCGAACACACAAGCUGCAUUACCCUCACAUAGCCACUAGGAAGCAGGAUCGAACACUUAAGCUGCAAUAACUACUCCAGCCACAGAUGGCAGCACCUUUAGACAGGGGCGGAGCCAUUACGUCACCCGGCCACGCCCUCUUCACAUAGGCCACGCCCACUUGACGGUAAAAAGCACGUGUUUGAGUUGGAGAAGGCAGAGACUAUAGGUAACCGCGGAGAGAACCGGGCUUAAGCCCGGGGCUUGAAGCUCACGAUAUUGUCCCUCACACGCAUUAGAUACAAUUCCCUCCCUUAAGCUUCAUAGUUACCAUACCGAAACAUGCCUACUUUAACAAAUAAAGUGAGUUAAAAGCGACCAAGGAUUGGACCACUUUCUUCCAGAAAUAACGCAAGAGUACCCUACCCUAAACAAUAGCCUAACUAAAGCGUGAGUACUCCGGAUACGUCUCCAGUUACGAAAUGUCCGUAAUGGAUUACAAUUGCUGUUAGUAGUGUGUCCCGCUAUCUCUACAACAGUAAAAAGCAGUUGAAAAACUAAAAUAUCUGUGCUAGUGUGAAGUUCAACAUAGUUUAAACUCUCAUUGUCUCCUUUCCUGUAACUGACUCUGCUAACUCUACUAAUAGGCCAGUAGAGCAAAUUGUUUACCAGAACACAGGUUUCGAUUUUGUACACAUUACCAAGUUGGCAACGUGGUACAGCAGAGCAGGUGUUACCUGCUGACAUGUUAGAGCACUCCCUGGGAGUGUGUGGGGAUGGCCAAUUUAUCUUGUGGGCCUGAUUAUUCAAUUAAUUUUUAACAGGUAUGCAGCCUCGCCAAGCCUCAGUCUUAUCAGUCUGAUUCGGGCCAGGUGAGGCUGCUUCAACCAGCAAUCAACAAGCCGUGCACAAAUCCCACAGACUAAUUUGAGGCGUUUGGGGUGACCAUCUACCUAAAAAGCAAGGAAUCUUUGUGUGUAUGUGUGAGAUUUUUAUGCAUGACCUUUGAAUAUCUCUAGAGCCGUUCAUCUGAUCUUUUUCACAUUUGGCAUGCAUAUCGCUGAGGACCGGAGGAAGUGCACUGUUGACUUAUUUGGCCACACAAUCUUAAGGAACCUUGAACAACACAUACAACCAGCGGC
ensembl:lncRNA